UUACAAAGGGAAAAGGAGCGAGUUUACAGUGAGGCAGCCUGACAGGCGCCUCCUCAAUUGCAGCCACCCUGGUGACGGGACAAAUCCAGACCAUGUGCCUCCUGGGAGGAUGCAUGGGAACAAUUCAGCGUCACUUCUGUGGUGUGCCUGCCUAAAAGGCAGAAUCUGAACCUAAGCAUGAGGAAACAUCACACAAAGGCAAAGAGAGGGAAAUUCUACAGAACAAGCAGCUCGUACUCUUCAAAAAUAUCCAUGCCACGAACCACAAGGACAGAGAACUAACCCAGAUUAAAAAGGACCCUCUGCGCCUCUCUCCUGCCUGCACUUCUGCCUCUCCAAAAACUGGCCUCCAACUUACUCUUCAGAACUUCAAAAAUUACUAGAAAGCUACAGUAAGCAAGAAGGUGUAACACUAGGAAGGAUAGACAAAUAUAUCAAUGGAAUAGAGAGAGGAACAGAAUGUACAGUCUCUUCAACAAAUAAGGUUGGAAAAUAUGGGCAUGCACGUGGAAAACCUUGAUGCCCACCUCACACCAAACUCAAACUAAUUUUAGAUACAUCAUAGACCUAAAUCUAAAAGCAAGAAGUACAACGCUUAAAAAAAAAAAAAAAAAGAAAGAAAGAAAGAAAAAGAAAAGGUUGGAGAAUACCUUCCUGACAGAAUAGGAAAAGAUUUCUUAGAGGACACAAAAGCACUAACCAUAAAAGCAAAAAAAAAAAGGUAAACCAGACUUCAUUAAAAUUCCAAUCUUCUGCUCAUCAAAAGAUACUACUAAGAAAAUAAGUAGGCAAACAGAGACUAGGAGAAAACAGUCACAGCACAACACAUAUGUAUGGCAAAGGACUUGUACCCAGAAUAUAUAAAAAAAACUCUGACAAUUCAAUAAUAAAGAAGCAAGCAGGCCAAUUUUAAAAACAGUCAAAAGACCUGAAAAGACACUUCACAAAAUAAGAUAUACAAAAGGCCAAUAUACACAAGAAAAAUCUGCUUAACAUCAAGGUCAUUAGGGAAAUGCAAAUUAAAACUAUCUUGAGAUACACUGCACAACCUCUAGAAGAGAUCAAAUGAAAGAGACUGCCAACACCAAAUGGUGGUGAGGACGUGGAGCACGUGGGAUUCUCUUAUAUUGCUGAUCAGAGUGUAAAAUGGUACAACUACUCUGGAAAACUAUUUGGAAGUUUCUGAAAACAUUAAACAUGCCUCUAUCCUCUAACCCAGCAAUUCCAUUACUAGAUGUUUAUUUACUCAAGAGAAAUAAAAGUAUCUGUCCACAAAAACCUUCUACAAGUGUAUUCACUGCAGCUUUAUUCACAAUAACCAAAAACAGCCCAGGUGUUUAUCAACAGGAGAACAUAUCAAUAAACUGGGGUGUGGCCAGACAAUGGAAUUCUAUUCAGCAAUAAAAGGGAACUAGUGAAUCUCAGAAAUAUUUUGUGGAAUGAAAGAAAUCCAACACAAAAGAAUUACAUGUUAUGCUACAAAAGGCAAAACUCAUCUAUGACGACAAGAACGCAGAUCAAUGGUUGCUUGGCAUGGGCUGACAGGCAAGGACUGAAUGGGAAGGGGCACAAGAGAACUUUCUGGGGUGAUGAAAAAGUUCUCUGCAUUUUCGGGAUGUGGAUAACACGGAUGUCAUGCCCAAGAGGGCUUUUGUAGCCGAAGGACUAAAGAAAGCACCAGACAUUCUGAGACAUGAGCCUUUAUUAUGGGGCUUACCAACAGGAUGGGAAAUUGAGUCACGCUGCCCUGAAUUCAGGAGCUUCUCUGAAUGGAUUCAGGAGCUGCUCCGAAUGGUGGCGGGUUCAGAGCCUAACUGAAAAUACUCCGCACCUUGGGGGGGCUGAAUAAGCUGGUUACAAGGGCUCGACAUUCCAAUGG